rnacentral:rRNA from 1 species
CCUACGGGGGGCAGCAGUGAGGAAUAUUGGUCAAUGGGCGAGAGCCUGAACCAGCCAAGUCGCGUGAGGGAGUACUGCCCUAUGGGUUGUAAACCUCUUUUGUCGGGGAGCAAAAGCCGGACGUGUCCGGCUGUGAGAGUACCCGAAGAAAAAGCAUCGGCUAACUCCGUGCCAGCAGCCGCGGUAAUACGGAGGAUGCGAUCGUUCUCCGGAUUUAUUGGGUUUAAAGGGUGCGCAGGCGGGUUUUUAAGUCAGCGGGAAAAUCGUGGGGCUAAACCCCAUCCAGCCGUUGAAACUGGGGAUCUAGAGUGUGCGAGAGGUAUGCGGAAUGCGUGGUGUAGCGGUGAAAUGCAUAGAUAUCACGCAGAACCCCGAUUGCGAAGGCAGCAUACCGGUGCACAACUGACGCUCAGGCACGAAAGCGUGGGUAUCGAACAGGAUUAGAUACCCCUGUAGUC